CCUCUCAUCUUGGCUAAAUGGGUAAGUUCUUGAUUCACAAGAUAGUGAUUCUUUCAUCUAUUUAUGCCUUUUUUUGGUCCCUUUAUCAGCUAAAAGGUGAAUAUUUUCUUCAGCACAACAAGUUGAGGGCAACCAUCCAACGCUGCUCAUAGAUGGAGAUGGAAAUUUCAACUCAAAAUUUGUAGAUGAUCUGAAAUUGGCUGCCGUGAGCCGUCCCGUUGCUGUUGUCUCCGUCUUCGGCGUGCAAAGUACCGGAAAGAGCACACUUAUGAAUUCUCUGUUCUCUACUAAAUUCAAAGUGAUGGAUGCUAGCCAGGGGAUGCAUCAAACGACGAAAGGUAUUUGGGUGGCAAAAUGCCCUUUA